AUCCUGAUUCAGGGAGGCAGUGACAAGAAAUAACAACUUUCAACUUUGUUGAAAAGUGUAAUGAGGAUAAUUUACAAACCUUACCGAAAGCAAUUGGAGGGCAAGUCUGGUGCCAGCAGCCGCGGUAAUUCCAGCUCCAAAAGCGUAUAUUAAAGUUGUUGCAGUUAAAAAGCUCGUAGUUGAAGUUCUGGCUGUAUUGGGCCUUAGCACUUGAUGCGGAGGAACCAGCGGUCAUCCGCUUGCAAAUACAUGUCCUUCCUUAACCGGUAGGCUGUAUAAGUAAGCACUUUACCUUGAGAAAAACAGAGUGUUCCAGGCAGGUUUGUCCGGAAUGCGUUAGCAUGGAAUAAUAGAAUAUGACUGAAGUCGAUUUAUUGGUUUAAGGCUUUAGUAAUGAUUAAUAGGAACAAUCGGGGGCAUUGGUGCUUGUCAGUCAGAGGUGAAAUUCUAGGAUUUGACAAAGACUAACUGAUGCGAAAGCGUUUGCCAAGAAUGUUUUCAUUAAUCAAGAACGAAAGUUAGGGGAUCAAAGACGAUCAGAUACCGUCCUAGUCUUAACUAUAAACUAUACCGUCUCGGAUUCAGAUGAAUUUUAAAGUUCAUUUGGGACCGUAGGAGAAAUCAAAGUCUUUGGGUUCUGGGGGGAGUAUGGUCGCAAGGCUGAAACUUAAAGGAAUUGACGGUUUUGCACCACCAUGGAGUGGAGCCUGCGGCUUAAUUUGACCCAACACUGGGAAACUCAUCAGGGCAAGAAGAUUUUAGGAUUGACAGAUUGAGAGUUCUUUCUCGAUUGGUCUAGUGGUGGUGCAUGGCCGUUCUUAGUUGGUGGAGUGAUUUGUCUGGUUAAUUCCGUUAACGGACGAGACCUUAACCUGCUAACUAGUACUUUGAUUUUCAAUCGGAGUUACUUCUUAGAGGGACUAUGUGAGUAAUCACAUGGAAGUUUGAGGCAAUAACAGGUCUGUGAUGCCCUUAGAUGUCCUGAGCUGCACGCGCGCUACAAUGACACAUUCAGCGAGUAUUUCCUGACCCGAAAGGGCUCGGGUAAUCUUUUCAGUGUGUGUCGUGAUAGGGAUAGAUCUUUGUAAUUAUGGAUCUUGAACGAGGAAUUCCUAGUAAGCGCACGUCAUCAGCGUGUGCUGAUUACGUCCCUGCAAAAUGUACACACCGCCCGUCGCUAUUACCGAUUGGGUGUAUAGGUGAACCUUCUCGAUAGCCGCAAGGCUAGAAAUUAAGUAAACCUUUGCACCUAGAGGAAAUAAAAGUCGUAACAAGGUUUCCGUAGGUGAACCUGCGGAAG
rnacentral:rRNA from 1 species